rnacentral:rRNA from 1 species
UAAUUGAAGAGUUUGAUCAUGGCUCAGAUUGAACGCUGGCGGCAGGCCUAACACAUGCAAGUCGAGCGGCAGCACAGAGGAACUUGUUCCUUGGGUGGCGAGCGGCGGACGGGUGAGUAAUGCCUGGGAAAUUGCCCGGUAGAGGGGGGAUAACCAUUGGAAACGAUGGCUAAUACCGCAUAACCUCGCAAGAGCAAAGCAGGGGACCUUCGGGC